rnacentral:rRNA from 1 species
UAAAAACAUGCAAGUCGAGCGUUCCGGCAGCCAACUUAAGUUGGGAGCCGGAUAGCGGCGGACGGGUGAGUAACGCGUGGGCAACCUACCCUUAAGACCGGGAUAACACCUCGAAAGGGGUGCUAAUACUGGAUAAGCUCCCUUGUAGGGCAUCCUAUGAGGAGGGAAGGUAGCGGGAGCUACCGCUUAAGGAUGGGCCCGCGUCCCAUCAGCUAGUUGGUAGGGUAACGGCCUACCAAGGCGACGACGGGUAGCCGGCCUGAGAGGGUGGUCGGCCACACUGGGACUGAGACACGGCCCAGACUCCUACGGGAGGCAGCAGUGGGGAAUCUUGCGCAAUGGGCGAAAACCUGACGCAGCGACGCCGCGUGAGCGAGGAAGGCCUUCGGGUCGUAAAGCUCGAUAGUGUGGGAAGAAGGGAUGACGGUACCACACGAAAG